AGAUUGAACGCUGGCGGCAUGCCUUACACAUGCAAGUCGAACGGCAGCACGGGAGCAAUCCUGGUGGCGAGUGGCGAACGGGUGAGUAAUAUAUCGGAACGUGCCCAGUCGUGGGGGAUAACGCAGCGAAAGCUGUGCUAAUACCGCAUACGAUCUAUGGAUGAAAGCGGGGGGAUCGCAGGACCUCGCGCGAUUGGAGCGGCCGAUAUCAGAUUAGGACGUUAGGUUGGGUAAGGGGUAACGACCUAACGACGUCGACGAUCUGUAGCUGGUCUGAGAGGACGACCAGCCACACUGGAACUGAGACACGGUCCAGACUCCUACGGGAGGCAGCAGUGGGGAAUUUUGGACAAGUGGGCGCAAGCCUGAUCCAGCAAUGCCCGCGUGCGAGGAUGAAGGCCGUUCGGUUA
rnacentral:rRNA from 1 species